UACAUUGUGAAGAGUAAUGGUAGGAGUCAAUGCAAAAGAGCAUGUGCAUGUCACUUUCACUUCAUAGCCAUUAGGAAGAGUGACAAGAUAUGGUAGAGGUAAAGGUGUGAUGUUAAAAAGUAGUUGUUUAUCAUGUGUCAUUUGAUUAGAGGCACCUGAAUCUAUAAUCCAGGUGACAGAAUUAAUAUGAGUAAGCAAACAAAGU
rnacentral:lncRNA from 1 species